UACGUAGGGCGCAAGCGUUGUCCGGAAUUACUGGGCGUAAAGAGCUCGUAGGUGGUUUGUCGCGUUGUCCGUGAAAACUCACAACUCAAUUGUGGGCGUGCGGGCGAUACGGGCAGACUGGAGUACUGCAGGGGAGACUGGAAUUCCUGGUGUAGCGGUGGAAUGCGCAGAUAUCAGGAGGAACACCAGCGGCGAAGGCGGCAUCCUGGACUGGUCCUGACGCUCAGGAGCGAAAGCGUGGGGAGCGAUCCGG
rnacentral:rRNA from 1 species